UGGGGAAUUUUGGACAAUGGGCGAAAGCCUGAUCCAGCAAUGCCGCGUGUGUGAAGAAGGCCUUCGGGUUGUAAAGCACUUUUGUCCGGAAAGAAAUCCUUGGCUCUAAUACAGUCGGGGGAUGACGGUACCGGAAGAAUAAGCACCGGCUAACUACGUGCCAGCAGCCGCGGUAAUACGUAGGGUGCAAGCGUUAAUCGGAAUUACUGGGCGUAAAGCGUGCGCAGGCGGUUUGCUAAGACCGAUGUGAAAUCCCCGGGCUCAACCUGGGAACUGCAUUGGUGACUGGCAGGCUAGAGUAUGGCAGAGGGGGGUAGAAUUCCACGUGUAGCAGUGAAAUGCGUAGAGAUGUGGAGGAAUACCGAUGGCGAAGGCAGCCCCCCUGGGGCCAAUACUGACGCUCAUGCACGAAAGCGUGGGGAGCAAACAGGAUUAGAUACCCUGGUAGUCCACGCCCUAAACGAUGUCAACUAGUCGUUGGGGAUUCAUUUCCUUAGUAACGUAGCUAACGCGUGAAGUUGACCGCCU
rnacentral:rRNA from 1 species